rnacentral:rRNA from 1 species
UCCUACGGGACGCAGCAGUGGGGGAUAUUGCACAAUGGGGGCAACCCUGAUGCAGCGACGCCGCGUGAGCGAUGGAGUACUUCGGUAUGUAAAGCUCUGUCAGCAGGGAAGAGAAUGACGGUACCUGACCAAGAAGCCCCGGCUAAAUACGUGCCAGCAGCCGCGGUAAUACGUAUGGGGCAAGCGUUAUCCGGAUUUACUGGGUGUAAAGGGAGCGUAGACGGCCAGACAAGUCUGAAGUGAAAAUCCAGCGCUUAACGUUGGAAGUGCUUUGGAAACUGCCGGGCUAGAGUGCAGUAGGGGCA